rnacentral:tRNA from 1 species
AGGCGGGCGACUGGUGUGCCCUCUGGUCUUCAAAACCAGUAUCAGCAGGAGACUGCUGGGGUGGGUUCGAUUCCCACAUGCUC